rnacentral:rRNA from 1 species
CUACGGGUGGCUGCAGUUAAGUAUCUUCUACAAUGCGCGCAAGCGUGAUAGAGUGAAUCAGAGUGCUUUUCAAAGAAAAGCUUUUGCCGAAUGUAAAAAAUUCGGCGAAUAAGGACUGGGUAAGACGAGUGCCAGCCGCCGCGGUAGUAUACUCGCGGUCCAAGUCGCAGCCAUUUUUAUUGGGUCUAAAACAUCCGUAGCUUGUUUGGUAAGUCUCCUGUGAAAUCCGGCAUCUCAAGUGUCGGGCGCGCGGGAGGUACUGCUAGGCUAGAGACCGGAAGACGGGAAGAGUACAAUUGAGGUAAUGGUAAAAUAUGUUAAUCUUGGUUGGACUAACAAGAGCGAAGGCACUUUCCGAGGACGGUUCUGACAGUAAGGGAUGAAGGCCAGGGGCGCAAAACGGAUUAGAUACCCCAGUAGUC